UCUUUGGAAAAGACGUUGUUGCUGGCAGCGGCUGCCGAGGAGGAACACUCUGCAACCGCGGUGUUAUCGUGAAGAUGGUGAAUAAAAAAUAAAGAAUGUUUUAGCCAAGGAAAUAAUCUCUACACAAUUUAAAAACAAUGGUCUUACGAAUUGAUCGCUCGACGUCGGUAAGAAUGUAAAAAUGAAGACUCAACAAUGUGUCUAUCGCGAAAUCGAUGAUACGAUAGAUUCUGAUAGUGCAUACAAUGGUCAGUAGAAAGCAUCUUCCACAGAAUCUUCUACCAUUAACCGUACUCAUUCGGCUGGGCUUGAUGUGGAAUGUGUUGACGCCAAGGAUUUUCAUUACGAUGGCUCCAAACACAAGCGAACGCGUGAUGACACGCGCGAAGGGGGUCACAGUUUACUAAUCAUGAACGGAUUCCAGAAGUUUAUUGUGGCCUUAGUAGAAACAAUCGGCAAAAGUAAAGAAUGGUUUGAAAAUGCGUGCUAGAUAAGGCAGUAAGUAAAAUCCCACAAAACUGUCUAAAAUGAUUUGAACCUUCUCAUAAGAAAGUGUUCAUUUAUGUUCGCCUUCACUAUCGUUCUGAUUUUUAAAAAUAAUUUUUACUAUAUUUCGGAAAUCAAGUCAUACUUUACAAAACAGCAAAAGUCAUGGAUCAGCGCUCCCUCCAUGAUCUUCGUUCGGUCGAACACCUUAGGUACCGUUGCAAUUCCUUCACAAUAACUUUUUGAGUGAAUAUACGAAAAUAACUUAUUUUUCAUUUAAAUUGCACUAUUUUUUACAUUUUUUUAUUGAACUUUUGUGCACUUUUAGUUCUUUAUUCAAGAAAGUGUAUACGUCUUAAUACUGAUUCUCCUUUAAUUAGCUCUAGUCGCUUAUCAUUGAACGAGUAUCUAAUAUCUGCUAUCGUCAAUAUUUGACCACUAAUUCUAGUAAAGUCAUUGACACCUAGCAUGCUAUCUGUCCUCGGUUUCUUCAAUUUUAUGUUUCCUUUCCUUCAAUGAUGGCAUGUUUCCAUUCAAUUAUGAAUUUGCUGUUUGUAUUGCACUGCUUAGUAUUCAUUAUACGAUUACGUUACGUUGAUACGUUCAGCUCUCUGUUCUACACAUUUAGUUCUUUUUUACUUAGAUUUGCGAUGCAUACUGUAAAUUCCGAUGUACACUCAAGGCUAUAAUCUUUUUCUUUCUUUUAUGAAUGUCUCAAACUGCUGAACGAGUUUCUUUAAUGUUCAUACUUCUUCACAUCAUUGCUGGACUUAUACUUCUUCUUAUUAUUCCUUCACCCUUCGUCGCAUUAUGACUGGGCUUAUUUAGAAUGUUAUUCAGCUCUUUUGAUAUUCACAUUAUAUACACUUUGCUCCAACUUGAACAGGCCAAGUAGACGGCGUAUGUUUGCGUGCAGUUGCUUCCAGAUCCGCACUCGCGAGGAAAUAUGUUUCACUGAUGAUCCGCUAGCUCUGGUUAGGGUAUCAGAUGUGCAAAUGUGAAACAACUUCGGAACUUGAUUUCUUUGUAGUGAAUUGCUGUGUCUGGCUCUGGGUUUACUGGUCGCCAACACUGUUUUUUGCCCACUUUCUAUUUUCUAAUAUUGUUUUUCAGUUGAUAUUCCUCGGUUAAAUUGCCGCAAAUGGAAGCAGCUGUACGUAGAUGAUACUUUUAUUCAACAACUAAUAGUCCGGAGGGGCAAUUCAUCCCCUUUCCCUUUGGGAGCUGACUGUAUUCAGUAUUUGUAGGAGUCAUCUCCAUAAAAGGUGUUUUUUUCUUAGCUCUGUUGAACAUUUAUAACUUAAUAUUCUUUUCUUAAUUAAACACUUUAUUUCGCCUUUCCAAACAUACGGCAAGUCCGUCCUUAUAUAUGCAAAAAAAAAACACUUUAUUUCGCCUUUUUAAUGAGCUAAUCCGACGAUUAACGACGCACGGCUGGAUCAGAAAUAUAAUAUCUCGACGUUGAUCUAGUUAAUGUUUGAGUCCCUUCGAGCGAGUUAAAAACAGCUAUAAGAGCUAUGAAGCUCUUUAUUCGUCGCAUCGAAUGGGUUUAAUAAUACGUUGAUUCAAGUUGUAUCUUCUUAGAACUAUCGUUUGAGAAAUUGAAAGUGAAAUGCAAUCAUUUGAAUUUGAAUAGAAAGGUAAAAAAAUACAAGGAUCGAAACGGUACUGUAAAUUCAAUCAACAUGUAUGCAUGUAAUGUGUAAUGAUAAAUGACAAUAGAAACUGGUAUCAUAACAGGAAAAACAGUGUUGGAGCGAUGAGAGCUUUGUUCUGUCCUUGAAUUGUAAAAUAAAAUAUUGCGUCUAUUAUUCCGCGUCGAUAUUCAUUCCGAGAAAUU